GACGAACGCUGGCGGCGUGCUUAACACAUGCAAGUCGAACGGAAAGGCCCUGCUUUUGUGGGGUGCUCGAGUGGCGAACGAGUGAGUAACACGUGAGUAACCUGCCCUUGACUUUGGGAUAACUUCAGGAAACUGGGGCUAAUACCGGAUAGGAGCUCCUGCUGCAUGGUGGGGGUUGGAAAGUUUCGGCGGUUGGGGAUGGACUCGCGGCUUAUCAGCUUGUUGGUGGGGUAGUGGCUUACCAAGGCUUUGACGGGUAGCCGGCCUGAGAGGGUGACCGGCCACAUUGGGACUGAGAUACGGCCCAGACUCCUACGGGAGGCAGCAGUGGGGAAUAUUGCACAAUGGGCGGAAGCCUGAUGCAGCAACGCCGCGUGCGGGAUGACGGCCUUCGGGUUGUAAACCGCUUUCGCCUGUGACGAAGCGUGAGUGACGGUAAUGGGUAAAGAAGCACCGGCUAACUACGUGCCAGCAGCCGCGGUGAUACGUAGGGUGCGAGCGUUGUCCGGAUUUAUUGGGCGUAAAGGGCUCGUAGGUGGUUGAUCGCGUCGGAAGUGUAAUCUUGGGGCUUAACCCUGAGCGUGCUUUCGAUACGGGUUGACUUGAGGAAGGUAGGGGAGAAUGGAAUUCCUGGUGGAGCGGUGGAAUGCGCAGAUAUCAGGAGGAACACCAGUGGCGAAGGCGGUUCUCUGGGCCUUUCCUGACGCUGAGGAGCGAAAGCGUGGGGAGCGAACAGGCUUAGAUACCCUGGUAGUCCACGCUGUAAACGGUGGGUACUAGGUGUGGGGUCCAUUCCACGGGUUCCGUGCCGUAGCUAACGCUUUAAGUACCCCGCCUGGGGAGUACGGCCGCAAGGCUAAAACUCAAAGGAAUUGACGGGGCCCCGCACAAGCGGCGGAGCAUGCGGAUUAAUUCGAUGCAACGCGUAGAACCUUACCUGGGUUUGACAUGGAUCGGGAGCGCUCAGAGAUGGGUGUGCCUCUUUUGGGGUCGGUUCACAGGUGGUGCAUGGCUGUCGUCAGCUCGUGUCGUGAGAUGUUGGGUUAAGUCCCGCAACGAGCGCAACCCUUGUUCACUGUUGCCAGCACGUUAUGGUGGGGACUCAGUGGAGACCGCCGGGGUCAACUCGGAGGAAGGUGGGGAUGACGUCAAGUCAUCAUGCCCCUUAUGUCCAGGGCUUCACGCAUGCUACAAUGGCUGGUACAGAGAGUGGCGAGCCUGUGAGGGUGAGCGAAUCUCGGAAAGCCGGUCUCAGUUCGGAUUGGGGUCUGCAACUCGACCUCAUGAAGUCGGAGUCGCUAGUAAUCGCAGAUCAGCAACGCUACGGUGAAUACGUUCCCGGGGCU
rnacentral:rRNA from 1 species